rnacentral:rRNA from 1 species
CCUACGGGAGGCAGCAGUGGGGAAUAUCGCACAAUGGGCGCAAGCCUGAUGCAGCCAUGCCGCGUGUGUGAAGAAGGCCUUCGGGUUGUAAAGCACUUUCAGCGGGGAGGAAGGCGGUGAGGUUAAUAACCUCAUCGAUUGACGUUACCCGCAGAAGAAGCACCGGCUAACUCCGUGCCAGCAGCCGCGGUAAUACGGAGGGUGCAAGCGUUAAUCGGAAUUACUGGGCGUAAAGCGCACGCAGGCGGUCUGUCAAGUCGGAUGUGAAAUCCCCGGGCUCAACCUGGGAACUGCAUUCGAAACUGGCAGGCUAGAGUCUUGUAGAGGGGAGUAGAAUUCCAGGUGUAGCGGUGAAAUGCGUAGAGAUCUGGAGGAAUACCGGUGGCGAAGGCGGCCCCCUGGACAAAGACUGACGCUCAGGUGCGAAAGCGUGGGGAGCAAACAGGAUUAGAUACCCUAGUAGUC